UACGAACUGCGCGAACGUUAUUCGGAAUCACUGGGCUUAAAGGGUGCGUAGGCGGCGCGACAAGUAGGGUGUGAAAUUUUUCGGCUCAACCGGAAAACAGCGCUCUAAACUGUCACGCUGGAGUGAGCUAGGGGUGUGUGGAACUUCCGGUGGAGCGGUGAAAUGUGUUGAUAUCGGAAGGAACGCCGGUGGCGAAAGCGACACACUGGGGCUUAACUGACGCUGAGGCACGAAAGCCAGGGGAGUGAACGGG
rnacentral:rRNA from 1 species